UGGGCAACCUGCCCUGCACUCUGGGAUAACUUCGGGAAACCGGAGCUAAUACCGGAUAACAUCCUCCUCCGCAUGGUGGGGGGUUGAAAGUUCCGGCGGUGCAGGAUGGGCCCGCGGCCUAUCAGCUUGUUGGUGGGGUAGUGGCCUACCAAGGCGACGACGGGUAGCCGGCCUGAGAGGGCGACCGGCCACACUGGGACUGAGACACGGCCCAGACUCCUACGGGAGGCA
rnacentral:rRNA from 1 species